UUAAUAAGCUAUUAUUUACAAUUUCAAAAUUAAUAAAAUUUUCUUGCUCGAUUUAGGAAUAUCAUACACAAAGAAGCUCAUCUUUCAUUACAAAAUGCAUUAGUUGAUCAUUUGUGAGAAAAAUGUUCUAAUGAUCAUUAUUGAACCAACAUAUAUAUUGUCUUUUUAAUGAUUUAUUGUAGUUCUUAAUAAUAAAUAUUUAAUUUAAAUAAUUUAUAUUUCAAGUAAUUUUUGUAAACAUAAAAUAGUUGGGGUUAAUUCGUAAAAUUGUAUAAGUAUAAGGUAUUAUUUACAAUUGUUGAUAAAAUAAAAUAUAAUCAUUUUAGAAUAUUAUUUUUGAAGUAAAAAUGGAAUAAUAUAUUGGAGUAAAACUUAACUCAAUUUGGGUGGUGCACUUUUUUAGAGUAAAAAAUGAAGUAAUAACUCAAAGAUGCUAUAAGGUUUGGCAUGAUUACCGAAUAAGACUACGUUGAGAAUAAUGCUUGGAAACGAAAUUUUUAUCAGAAGUUAUUUUUCUUGUGGAAGCAACCCGAAGUAAUUCCUUUUGUCACGAUUAACAUUUUUACUGGAUUAUUUUUUAACUUAACAUAAUAGGAUAAUACAAAACAAGAUUACAAACCUAAAUAAACCAAAACAUAGUUCAAACAACCGUUCCACAGGUUUCAGCAAAAAAAAAAAAACAACCGUUCCACGUGAGUAACGUGAGAGUUCGCGUAAUAAUAGUACUUACUUUUCUUUUCUCAAACCAAUUCUAGUUAAAAUCUCGGGAAACACGACUGGUGCGAAAGGAGAAGACUUUUCCAAGAAGACAUGCGUCUAUACAUGAAUGGUCUGUCAUUCGCAUUAAAUACACAUCAAUGGAGGCUAACCUAUCCACGAUAUUUUUGCCAGAUAUGGUCGGGAACUGAUUGGCUGACACUGCCACGUGGCUUUUCAUGGUUGGCUUGUGAGCAGGGAUCGGAUCCCGCCUUGUAUCAAGUGAAUCCGAGUCCGACGUGAAAGAAAAAAAGUCUACAACUUUCAGAUCUGACACACUCAUCAAAUAUCUUGUAAUUGGGAUUUAUUCUUCUUUUCCAAUCUUUUAAUUAGUUUUGAAGCUUGAGGACUAAUGGCUAUGUUCUUGAAAUUUCAGGAUCUAAGGUGUUUCUUAGCUAUAGAUCUUGUAUUUGUAAUCUCCAUAGGUUAAAGAUAUUCAUUGGUUCAUUGAUCUAGAUUUUUGCGAUGCCCACUUGAUCUAUAGAUGUGUUGAUUCUGAAUCUCGAAGCUUUAUGCUUAAUGGGGUGUUGAGAAAUUUCAGUGUUUAUUCUGCAUCUAUAUUGGCAUAGGUUGGUGUCGCAGGUAAGUUCCUUCUAUUGAAUCUCUGAGUUUACCUUUGUCAUCUGAAUUUGAUUUUCAGGUUUUUGGUUUGUUUAGAAACCAUAGAAAUCGAAAUUGAAUCUUGUUCGGUAAGAAGGUUCAUGAUGUUGUCAGAUUCAGAGUUUAUUAUGGUUCCAAAUAGGAGGUUUUGCAAGUUUUGAAGAAUUUUUAAUAGAAAUUGAAGUUGAUU